GUGUUACAGGUAGUAGAGAGUUAUGUCUCUGUUUAACAGGUAUUAUAACGUUAAUCUCUCUGAUUUACAGAUAUAGAUCUCCCUGUUUUACAGGUGCAACACAGUUAAAUCUUCAUGCUACAGGUGUAACAGGUUUAAAUCUCCCUGUGCUAUAGGUGUAAUAGGGUUAAAUCUCUGUAUGUUACAGGUGUAAGAGGGUUAAAUCUCUGUGUUAAAGGUGUAACAGGGUUAAAUCUCUGUGUUAAAGGUGUAACAGGGUUAAAUCUCUGUGUUACAGGUGUAACAUUGUUAAAUUUCUGUGUUACAGGUGUAACAGGGUUAAAUAUCUGUCUGUUACAGGUGUAACAGGGUUAAAUCUCUGUGUUACAGGUGUAAUAGGAUUUAAUCUCUGUGUUACAGGUGUAACAGGGUUAAAUCUCUGUUUGUUAAAUGAUCCUCUUCAGUGUGAUUGGUGGUUCCCAGUGUAGCAGUGCAGUCACUGCAUCCUCUUGCUGAGGGAGGUUUUUGUACAGCUCUGUAUCACCGUGUGAUAUCUGGAGCACUGUAGAAAGCAAGACAAUAAUACACUCCAGCGUCCUCAGGCCGAACUUCACUGAUGGUCAGAGUGAAGUCAGUUCCAGACCCACUACCGCUGAAUCUGUCUGAGAUCCCAGAUUCUCGGCUGCUUGUGUCAUGUAUUAGGAGUUUGAGAGCUUCUCCAGCCUUGUGUUGGUACCAGGACACAUCAUCACCCAGUCCACUGGAGGUGCUGGUUUUACAGCUCAGAGUGACUCUGUCUCCUGGAACUGCAGAUUUCACUGCAGG